UAUAUAAAUGUUCUCUGAACAUGUAGUACUCUAGAAAAUAAAAAGUUCAUUCAAAAAUUUGAAAAUGAGUAAAAGUCAACUAAAUAUCAUGCAAGAUCAUAAACUCUGCAUUAGAUAUUUUAUUGGGGAGAAUUUAAAAACUAUGAGCUUGAGUUUAUAGAGUCUGCAUUAUUGUGUCUAAAACCUUUUUAAUGAAUAUCAUUUGCAUUUAUUUAAAUCUCAGUAUGAAUCUGAGUGCUGAGAAAUGAAUUCCUGCUUAAAUUGUGUCUUGAUAUAUCAUAGUAAGUUGAAAUUCAAUAUUUAUUCCAACUGUUAGUUUUGUUAUUUUAUGGAGUAGUCUUUGUUCAGAGAAAUAAUGAUGUUUUUAUCAUUCCUAAGGGUGGCUCAUAUACUGUGGAUGACCCAGUACUGUUGUAAAGGUCUAGUUUAAAAAACUGCCUAAUUUAUAGGUGUUUGAAUCAAAUUCUUUUCUAAAUUUUAGUGACCUAUUUGACUCAAAUAAAAAUUUUGCUGAAAGUAUCAGUUUUUAAAUUAUAUAUUUUCUCUGAGGUGCACUAGGCAUUUAAAGAGUGGUUCUUCCCUGUAUUGUUGGGUACACCAACAUUGUAAUCAUGUGUUUAGAAAUAUUCUUCUCAUGGAGAUAUAUAGGGGGGAAAGUAUGUUGUAAUAUUCAUGUUUGUUCUACUUCAGUUUUAAGGAAAAUAAACAUGUUCCAAAAGACACUACUAAAAUAAGUGUUUGAAUAAAUUUCAAUUUCUAGGUUUCUCUUCACUCCAAAUACGUAAAUAUACAUUUCAAUUGGCUUUAAGUGGUUUAAUCUGUUAAAUGAAAUUUGAAAGUCCAUGUCAUUGUUGACAUCAUCAAUUAUACUUCAUAGAAAAUUAUGUAUUUAUGUGUUUUGGAUUCUAUAAGAAGCAAACUGGUAUAAUGUUAUCAUAAUGUGGCAGAGUAUAUCUCAAAAGGUGCAAACCAGUAUAGCCCGGAGACCCUCCUGUGAUGAGAGGCCCCGGGCGCACACACACCUUCCUAGCCUUAACCACAGCUGGUUAAUGACAGACACACUAAGGGUACUGAAAGCAAAUUCUGACUUAAAAUGUGUGAUAUUAGUGAGGACAAGGAAAAGCCAGCAAGACCUAAGGUUGGAGGAGAUAGUAUGACUGCUUUGCCCUUAAAAGCCAUGAUGUUCCUCCCUCAAUCCAAAAGUUUUCUCUCUGAAUAUUUUGA
rnacentral:lncRNA from 1 species